AGCGUGGGUGCCCAGGUGGCGAUGGGUGUCUUCGAAGUGUGGCUCCGGGUGGCCCUCGCCUUGGCGGCGUUUGCACGAUUGCCUCAUCAUUCGGAAGGUGCUUGUGUCUAUCAGGGUUCCUUGUUGCCGGAUGCUACAAUUUGGAAGCCCG